rfam:Ictidomys tridecemlineatus contig066236, whole genome shotgun sequence.
UGGGGUUUGGCUCAGUGGUAGAGCACUCACCUAGCAUGUGCAAGGCUGUGGGUUGGAUCCUCAGCUCCAU